CUUUUGGCGUCACUUGCUUCCAGCUACUUGCUGUUUUCCGUUAACACGCAGGGUUACAAUGCGUUCGAUAACGACAUAAACAGCUGUCUUUUUAACGGUUGGAAGACGGGUAGAAACGCUGUUCUCAAUGCAAAAAUGGAUUGUCAAGAUCGCUCACAUUCUGGCCUUUGCUAUGGUUUGGCGAAAGGUAAAGCUGCAUUCGCUGUUUGUUACAACCAAAAUACUCUCAUCCCUGAAUUUACCGGGC